AACAUGAUUAUAUAUAUAGCAAUACAUAUUGACUAAUAUGGUAUAAAUUGGUUGAUUAGUCGUGUAACUGUCGUUGACUGGUUUAUGUCGGAAGGAGAAACCUACAUUGUAAAUAUGUAUAUAUGAACUUAGUUACUUACUAAUAUUCAGAUCAUCAACAUUCUUAGAUUUGCAGUGUCACUUUGCAAAUGUAAGUGUAAAUCAGAGUGAAGGAAUGGGUCAUCAAAGUGUAACUAACGUUGCGUUUUAGCUUAAUAGAAACGUUGCUAAAGUUGCUGGAACGAAUUCUGUGCUUACAAUUAAUGUAGGAAAUGAUACAAUUCUAUCAACGGAGAUUUUAACUUUAAAUGUAGCUAUGUCCCAACUAUAAGAAUGACUAAGAAGCUUAGAACGAAAAACAAUAAGAAAUACAGAAUAAAAAUGAACAAAAAAAAAUAGAAAGAGGAAGUCACUGACAUCAAGAGAAGCUAAUAUACAUAUUUAAAUACAGAUUUUGAUCAGU
rnacentral:lncRNA from 1 species